CUGGAAUUUCCUCCCUCUCUCUUGGCUUUCCCUCCGUCUUCAGGCCCGGCAACCGAUGGGCUCCAAUGUUUACAUUUUAACGACCUGCACCCACACAUCCGCACAUACACCGCAAGGAUAAAGAGAGAGAGAGAGCAAGUCGCCAAAAGUUCGGGCUCGUGACUCUAUUUUUUUUUUCGGCAGCUACUUCGGGCGGAGGCUCUCAGCUGCUGUGGCCGCUGAUUGCGAUUCCGAUUCUGCGGCUGCUACUGCUAUUGCUGCCGCUGCCGCUGCCAACUGCUGGCGCUGCUUUCACCGCCGCUGCUUUCACACAGUGGCUCCGUUAUUUGUGCGUGCGCGUUGCCAAUAAACGGGCAGCGGCUUCUGCUGGCGCAGCCAAUUUCGUGUGAUAAAAAAAAAACAACCAGAAAGAUGUGGAUUGCGAUUUAGACGUGUUUUUUUGCGUGCGUGUGUGUGUGAUCCCCCUUUUUUCCGACAACAACAACAACUACAGCAACAAUCGAAAUAACAACAACAACAAUGCAUAGUUCCUGCUGAGUAGCUUUUUGUAUAAUCGAAUGAAUGUGUGAGUGUAAUCGCUGUGAGUGUGUGUGUCCAAGGAAAGUUAAUCGAACAGAAGAAGAAACACCAAAUAACAACAACAACAACAACUAAACACUGCCGCCUACAAACAAUAAGAAAAAAGGAAAGAGAAGAAACCUCGAAGAUGCUCUUGUCGCAACAAUAAAACGAAAGCCGGAAGAAGAACUAGAAGAUUCGAUGUUGAAAAAGUGUGAGGUGAAUAAAGGACGAAGGACGACGAACAAUAGCUAGAAGAAGCAGCUCAUCCCUUGUAGCUAGUUGAAAUUGAAACCUAUAAUGCACCUUAGGAAAAUUGCAACACCUAUUCCAACAACAAAAACUGUAAUAACAACAACGACACAACGUUAACAACAACAAAAAAGCAACUAGAGCUGUUAUAAAAUAAAAGAAAAAACAACAAGCAUUUCAACUAAAUACUUUUCAACAACUAUAAAAUCUAGUCACAUUUUUGAAAAAAUUAAAAAAAAUAUACUACUUGUUGGAAUAACGAUUCCAACAACAUAACAACACAUUCCAUCAACAAAUUAUUAAAAAAAAAACAUCUACUACUUGUUGGUGUAACAAUUUCAACAACAAAAAUCAUCCAACGAUAGAAAAAAAAGCACAAAAGUUAACUUUCAACUAUGCAUAUACUACAACUUAAACUAAAACUUCAACUAAAAACUAAUAUUUAAACUUAAAGCACAAAUUUUAAAGCAUACUUUUCGGCACUCUACUAUAUUUAAUAAAAAUUAACUUCUAAAAUAAAAAAAAA